rnacentral:tRNA from 1 species
GGCCGGUUGGCCCAAUGGCAAGGCGUCUGACUACGAUUCAUCAGUUAUCAGGAGAUUCUGGGUUCGACCCCCAGGCUGGUCA